rnacentral:rRNA from 1 species
AUUGAACGCUGGCGGCAGGCCUAACACAUGCAAGUCGAACGAGUGGCGGACGGGUGAGUAAUGUCUGGGAAACUGCCUGAUGGAGGGGGAUCACUACUGGACACGGUAGCUAAUACCGCAUACCAUCGGAUGUGCCCAGAUGGGAUUAGCUAGUGGGGGGGGUAACGGCUAACCUAGGCGACUAUCCCUAGCUGGUCUGAGAGGAGGACCAGCCACACUGGAACGGAGACACGGUCCAGACUCCUACGGGAGGCAGCAGUGGGGAAUAUUGCACAAGGGGCGCAAGCCUGAUGCAGCCAUGCCGCGUGUAUGAAGAAGGCCUUCGGGUUGUAAAGUACUUUCAGCGGGGAGGCGUUACCGGCAGAAGAAGCACCGGCUAACUCCGUGCCAGCAGCCGCGGUAAUAC